rnacentral:lncRNA from 1 species
AAAAAAAAAAUCAGAUACACUUUCAAAGGAGAGAAUUGCCACACUGAUACUGAGAAUCAUGUGCCUUUAUAUUAAUUGAAAGCCAGUCCCAAAAAAUUCUGAAGGGAUUUUUAUCAACAGCUGUAUAGCUAGAGAACCUUCCCAUUUUAGGAGACUAUUAUAAAGGAGAUAGAUACUAUAUAUAUUAUGCUGUUUAAAAUAUAAUUGCAUUCCUUUAUAACCACAAUCUAUACCCCAUUCUUUUUAGUCAUUAAAUUCCUACAAUUUGUUAUUAGACCUCAUCAAUCUUAAAAAUAAGAUUUUGAGGCAGUUUGAUCUUUGAAUGUAAGAGUAAGAACAAACUAUGUUCAUAAAGAUAUUUUAGAAUUUAAUUCAAUUUAUUUUUCUGGAGUGGAAGUAAUAGCAAUCCUCGAGAUGAUAGGACUUGACAGCCCCAAUGUUCAGACCCCUCUUUUAGGUUUCUCAGGUCAAAACACAGAUUGUUGAAGGAGCUUAUAAGGAUGCCAGUUUCUCUAUUUCUCCCACUUAACUGUGGAAUCCAGAUUUUCAUAAGGGGGAUCCACAAGGCAGUUUUGCAAAUACUAACUACAAUGUAAAACUCGAAGCACUCUUCCUAACUCAGAUUUCAUUUCAACCCCAGGGGAUUUUUCUAAUGAGAAUUUUUAUUUCUAACUAGCUGCUUAUUCAGGAGAAUCAUUAUCCAUUUAUAAAUUAAUUUCUUCUUGUACACACUGCAAGCUACUUAAGAGUUUCCAUGUGAAAGAAAGACUAAAUUUCGAUCAGCUCCUGAAAUUGCAUUUAUUUGUCCUUGAAACUUUCAAUUUGGGUCUUGUAUUUUAAACUUUUGUGCCCAUGGUAUUUUAAAAUGUAUGACAGCUUUCUCGCAAUUGGCUGUCAGUUGACCCCUCACUGAUCCUGUUACAGUUGCUCUGAAGGGGUUUUUAACCUGUCUUUGAGCUGCUGCCAGAAUCCUGCAAAGAAAAUUCACAUAAAUCCCACUGCCUAUAUUUUAUCACAGCAUCCCAGAUCUACCCUUCAAAUUGCUAUUUUCUUAAGCCAUUUUCUCAUGAUGCAGUUAUAGAUUGAAUCUUAAUUAUAUUUUACAAAGCUUAAUCUGCCAAUACUGGAUAGGUGCCUAGGAAAUGUGGCUUUUUAAAUUGAUGGUUUUUGUAAUCUUUAAUCUGCAAAUUUCACAUUUUCAAGUCAAAGUAUAAGAAAAAUAUAAUGAACACGUGUGUGUGUAUGUAUAUACAGUGGACCUCACUAUUUGUGGAUUCCACAUUUCCAAAUUUGCCUACUCACCAAAGUUUAUUUCUAAUCCUAAAAUCAAUUGGCAGCAUUGUCACGCUCCUUGGUGGACAUUUGCAGAGCAUCAAAGAUUUGCAUCAUCCAACACACGUUCCCAGCUCGGGUUGAACCAGGAAGCUCCAUCCAGAAAUAAUCCGUGAAUGAAAACACCUAAAUAUAAAAGAAACACAUUAAUAUAACACUUGA